rnacentral:lncRNA from 1 species
GGUCAAACCACCUCUGCAUGUCCCCGCUGUGCCAUAUCCAUUUACAGACUGAGGAGACCAGGCUGAUUCCACCACAGACUUCAAGUUGGCAGUUAAGGAGACUAAGCUAAGAACUGGGCAAGUCCAGGCAGGUCAACUACUAAUAGAAAAAACCCAGGCUCCAGCCUUCAUGACAAGGUAAUGGAAUGUCCCAGCCACCGGGCCUGAGGCAAGGACAAUGGGUCAGCAGUUUCCAGACUUCCUCAGCUUCUUCCUCAACUGGGUUUCUCUGUGUAGCCCUGGCUGUCCUGGAACUCGAUCUGCAGACCAGGCUGGCCUUGAACUCAAAGAGUGCCUGGGAGUGCUGGGACUAAAGGCCAGCAUACCCCGCAUACCCAGCAUACACCACAGCCACAUACCCUGCUUUUUAACAUGGCUCUGCAAGGAAAUUCCUUCGAUAUUUUCUGCUCUCGAGCUGUCCUUAUUCUGAUCUUAAUAUUUAUCCUCAAAAGCAACAGCCAGAUCCCUCCGUGAUGUUAACUUUGACUGAUGUUUUUUGUAUAUGAAGUAAUUUUAUAUAUGAAGUAAUUUGUAUGUCAUGCUUGGGGAGGGGGGUUCAUGAUCUCUGUGAGGUUCCUGUUCUAGUGUAGUGCUGCCAGCUUGGCUUUCUUGACAGAGCGUUAGGCUGGCAAGCGCUUUCCACUAAAGGUCACUGAGAUCCUGAAGCUGGCCACCACCCUUUCCUUUCCCCAUCCCCUCUCCCCUCCCUCUCUCCUCCCCUCCUUCCUCUCCUCCCCUCCCUCUCCCCUUCCCGUUCUCUCCCCUCCCCACUUCUCUGUAUCUCUCUGUGUCUGUUUCUCUGUGUCUCUGUGUCUGUGUCUCUGUGUCUCUCUGUCUCUCUGUCUCUCUGUCUCUCUCUCUCUCUCUCUCUCUCUCUCUCUCUCUCGGAAUUGCUACAGAGUCUCUAUUGAGUUGGGAUCAGUGGCACAGCUCUUGAAUGCUUGAAC